AUGGCGCGAGGGAAUGGUAAUUAAGAGCGAUUGGGACAGACGUGUUGUGAGAUAUCGGGAUUUUGCGCGUAUCUUGAUAAAUGGUUUGAUUGGUUUAAAGGAGCAAACAGGUUAGAAUAUAGUGUCUAGGGCAAAGGAGACAUGACGAACUGGAAAUGAAAAAUCUUUGAAUGGAAAACUUCUUUCAGUAGAUUUAGUGACUAAUUUAGCUUUUCUUGAUUGUUUGCUGAUGUUAUAAUAUCUUGAUAUGUACAUAUAUGGUUUGGUUGGUGAAGAGGUUAAGAAAUGAAGAGGUUAGAAUAUAGAGUCUUGUGCAAAAGGAAUAAGUUGUUUAUUGAUGCAAUCAGUUUAAGUGCUUGGCUUUCUCGUAUAUUUGUUAGAAGAUGAGGAGAAUGUUGUAAGUUAUAGAGAAAUGGAAGAACAUCAUUUUGAAAGGUUAAUAAGAGAAGUAGAAUUCAAUUGAUUAAUGCACCUGUGGGAUUGAUCAAUCAAGUUAGCCUUCACAUUGAUAACGUGAUCAAGGAGUGUCAAUCGAUCGGCGCCUCCUGGAAACGCUUUUUGAUCAAACAGAACUUGAUAUGCUUCGAUUUAUUCGAUAUGGAAUAUCGAAUAUCUCUUUGAUUUCUGUGAUGGCGAAUCUGAUAAAGAUGCAUGUGCAUAAAUAAUUUCGAUGCUUGAGAAUGAUUGCUUCAAAAAUUCGCCGUAUCCCACAAUAAAAAGAAAGAUAAGCAAAUAGAACAUGAUUAUGAAAUUUCCUAUAUCGAUUGUGAGGAAAAUAAAAAUAAAAGUUUGAAUUACACAAGUAAAUUUUUAAUGGAAGGGUUAGCAGGUUUUACGAGAUGAAUCGAAGACCUUAAACGUUUUAUGUAUCGGCGAUCACGAUGGUCGAUAUUCAUCAUUCAUGAAUAAUUCAGAAAUGAAAUGCUUACAGUUACACGGGACACGUGACGGACUCCUCCCUUGGACAAAACACUGGAAUGGGUUUGCAGUGUUUUAUUUCGCUUACGGGAUCGACGUUUGACCCGAAUCUUUUCUCAUUUAUAUUUCGUUUCUACUUCUAACGUUUUUAUUAUGUAAAUAACUAAUUGUAAGUAGGAGAAAAGAAGAAGAAGAAUAUAGCAGUAAGUAUUUGCAUAUUUGCAUUUGGAGAAGAAUUUAAUUGUAAAAGUUCUUGAUAUCCUAAUCUCGCGAAUUCAACAUUUUCCAAACGAAACGUUAUAUCUUUCAGAUAACCUUAAUACUCUUGAAUAAUAUGUAAAACUGUUAAAGUUUCUCAAAAUUCUAGGCGUCGCGGGUAUCCUCUUUGUAACUGUCUUGAUAAAUCCUACGGAGAGAAAGUCAACCUUUAUGUAAAUCUGAAGUCACUACGUAUGGCGCAUGGAGGAUCAAGGUGCGCCUAUAUAGCUAAGUUCUGUAUGAGUUUUGUAACUUUCAAAUCUUUGGGUGACCUUUUUAAAAUUCUUUUGUUUCGUGAGCAUAAAAUUCUCUUGUCAUGAUGUUCGUUAUUUGGAAUUGAUAUUUCACUUGAGAUUUGUAUUUUAAUAAUUUUCAUGUUUAAAUAAUUUGAAUGUUUAAAUUGCCUAGGAUUUUAGAAAUUAGAAAUUACAAAACUUAAAGAGAGUGAAAAUUAAAAAUUAAGCAAUUCUAAACGAAAUCUAAUCGCUUAGAAUACAUAUGUAUAUGUAUGUAAAGUAUUGCAAUAUGUAAAUUAUGCAACAUACAGGGUGUCCCAAUGUUUUGCAGCGAAAUGUCAGUACAUUCUAUAGGUCAAAGCAAGAAAAAUAUGUCAUAUAAAUAUAUGUCUUUAUUACUAUCUACAUCUAGCAAUGGUCAAAAGGUAUCAUAAUACUUCUACAACUCUAACUACAAUUCUAUUUUGAAAUAUUCAUCAUUUUGACAAAAAAUUACUUUUUGAAGUUCUUGUUUAUUAAUGAUCGAAGUUGGAAAACGAAGAAUUUCAUAUAUCAUUUUUUUUUUUUUUUUUUUUUUGUUAUAAUUCUUUGACAGUGCUUUCAAUGACAUAUGUUUGCAUAAUAUUUUGUUCUUAUCUUGACAUAUAGGAUGUACUGACAAUGUUUGGCUGCAAAUAACUCAGACAUUGUAUGUAAAAGAUUUUACACAAUAAUUAUUUUUAUAGGUAGUGGAAACACAGAUCACAUCAUGAACAUCAUGGUCACAUUACCGUUAAUUUAAUUUCUGCAACUUAACCUAAAAAAAAAAUGGACAUUUCAACCACCACAUACAAGAAUAUAUAAUCGAUAAAUAUUAUUAGAUAUACCUUGAGUUAAAAAUAAGCUCUAACGGCCAGAGUACAAAGAUAAAAUCAGGGACUAUAGUUAUGUCAGUAUUCUAAGCAUGUCGAA